AGAUUGUUAUAACAACUCAAACUGGAAGAAUAUUGCCUGUACAACCUGAACUCCUUGGCGUAACAUUUUGUGCUCCAAACUGCAUACGAUGUUAUUUGUUUUAUAUGACCUUUAAUUUGUGCUCCAGCAGCUUCAGCAGAGACAAAAACACAGAGCAUAGUCGCCUUGACAAUGCUUGUAUUUAUCAAAUUUUAUUUAAGGGAACUAAAUUUUAGCAGCUACAAUACCUGAUUGUCAGAAACUAG
rnacentral:lncRNA from 1 species